rnacentral:rRNA from 1 species
UACGGGGGGGGCAAGCGUUGUUCGGAAUUACUGGGCGUAAAGGGCUCGUAGGCGGCCAACUAAGUCAUACGUGAAAUCCCUCGGCUUAACCGGGGAACUGCGUCUGAUACUGGAUGGCUUGAGUUCGGGAGAGGGAUGCGGAAUUCCAGGUGUAGCGGUGAAAUGCGUAGAUAUCUGGAGGAACACCGGUGGCGAAGGCGGUUCUCUGGGCAUGUCCUGACGCUGAGGAGCGAAAGUGUGGGGAGCGAACAGG